rnacentral:lncRNA from 1 species
UUUGUGCUUGAGAACAACAAUGCGUUUGUUUAGAAAUUUCAGCAUGUCAGCCGUUUUUGUAAUUGCAUUUGACAACAUUUUGUAAUUUUAAUCCAAUUUUCUAGUAGCAUUUUUUAAAACAUCCAAAAAAUUAUACUCUAUGUAGUAGGACAAAACAAAUCAUGUAAAUAUCAAUUUCACCUUGUAUAAUUUUAUCGAGUUAUGUGUUAAUUUUAUGUUUGUUUGGAUUUCAAAAGUUCAUAAGAAAUUCCAAAACUUCAGAAAGAAAAAAAAAUACUUAGGAGUUGCAACUAUUUUGACAAAAGAGAUAAAUCACAAUGAAACGUGUGAAAAAAAGAAAAGAGAGCUAGAAAGCAAACACUUCAAGAAAUAGAAGGGCUAAUAAUGCAGUUAUCAAAAUCCUCCGUGAAAGAGAAUCAAAGCUUUAAAUGCUAUUAUGAUUAGAGAAAGAAAAAAAAUGUUAUCAAAAAGGGAAAAAAUAAAAGGAAAUAGAAUAGGGGAGAUGUUGAACCCGCUACCUCUAAAACAGAUAGGUAAUCACAACACCAUACAUUACAAUAAAUUUACUAAAAUUUUGUUGCUCCUGAUAAUCAUAUACUUCCUGGCACCUAAAGCCCUUGUUUCAUGGGCUUUAGCCGAGGGCGGCCCUGAAUACUUGCUUGCAUACCUAGACCACAACAUACAUGUGAAACACAUAUCACUG